CGAUGUCUGAUUUUUUGAAGAUUCUCAUGUGCAACAACUCUUCUGGACACUUGACAUUUGACACUCAUGUCAUGUCUCCAUGUAAUAUCUAAACUGUAACCACACAUAAGAAAGUGAAUAAUCAUGUACACAGAUUCUAACACCUUUCCUGAAUUAAGGAGGCUCAACUAGUUAAACUCCUAAAGAAAACACAAUAGAAGAUCAACUUGCUAAAUUAUUUAGCACAAACAAAGAAAUGUCCAUUUCAUGUUAAGGAUUAAAAAUUUAAUGUCUCGAUAUCUUUAAUACAUUUUCAUGAAGCUGGAUUAAGAAAAGAAGACAAAUCAGGCAAGGGAGCAGGAAGGAGAUCCAAACAAGCCUUAAGAAGUAUUCAGAUGCGAGAAAUUCUCUAUUUGAUAUACAUAUGGAAUGCUUAUACAGUUGACAUUUAAGAAAAUGUUUAAAAUCUUGAAAUGGAGAAAUUUAACAAGGAGCAUACUUCACUCAUAAUAACAGAGGCUCUUUGACAAAUUUCCAUGGAGAAAACUGGGAAAUGCCUAGGAAUGGAGCAGUGUAAUCGGAGUAAGAAGAAUUUCCAUGAACAAUGCAGCCACCUUACUAAAAGGUUCCUAAACAUAAGGUUAAGAUAAAACAUACUUGUUGAUGACCAUCUCAGACCACACAAUGGGCUCGUUUGGUUCGCAGGAAAAAGAGGGGGGAAAGUGUGAUCAACGGGAAAGUAAUGAAAUGCCUCUUGUUUGGUUGGAGUUUUCAAAAG
rnacentral:lncRNA from 1 species